CCCUGCACUCUGGGACAAGCCCUGGAAACGGGGUCUAAUACCGGAUACGACCGUCUCGGGCAUCCGAUGACGGUGGAAAGCUCCGGCGGUGCAGGAUGAGCCCGCGGCCUAUCAGCUUGUUGGUGAGGUAGUGGCUCACCAAGGCGACGACGGGUAGCCGGCCUGAGAGGGCGACCGGCCACACUGGGACUGAGACACGGCCCAGACUCCUACGGGAGGCAGCAGUGGGGAAUAUUGCACAAUGGGCGAAAGCCUGAUGCAGCGACGCCGCGUGAGGGAUGACGGCCUUCGGGUUGUAAACCUCUUUCAGCAGGGAAGAAGCGAAAGUGACGGUACCUGCAGAAGAAGCGCCGGCUAACUACGUGCCAGCAGCCGCGGUAAUACGUAGGGCGCAAGCGUUGUCCGGAAUUAUUGGGCGUAAAGAGCUCGUAGGCGGCUUGUCGCGUCGGUUGUGAAAGCCCGGGGCUUAACCCCGGGUCUGCAGUCGAUACGGGCAGGCUAGAGUUCGG
rnacentral:rRNA from 1 species